UGACAUUCUAUAUGUGUUUGUUCUUAGCAUUUUUAGUUGAUGUCUCGGUUUAACACAAGGUAAACAGAAAUUUUCUUUUCCAGAUUAUAAAUGCAUUCCUGCGGAUGAUUAAGGCGCGAGACAUUACAUCAGAGAGCCCCAUCUUCUUGCUCCCUUCCUACACAGCAUUGUGGAAUGCUGGUGACAUAUUUAAAAAGGUGCAGUUUAGAAAGUACAGAUACAUUGUAAAUGCCUGUAGAUGUCAACAACAAUCAUAUGGUACUUUCUAGUAGCAAGUGUGAGAGACAGAACCAAACGUUUUUUGUUUCCAUGAAUGGAAGUAAUGGAGAUAUGUUCAUUGACCUGUGGAGGUACGUAGAUUAUGACAGUUUGGCAACAAACAACCAAACCUAUGUCAUUCCUGUAUGCUUCAAUCAGCUGUAUCAGAGUCCGUAUUGAAAAUGACAGGAUUAUCUGACAUGCACUUUGACUGGAGACAGAAAUAGUGACUGUAAAGAGACAUUCUGUAUCCAUGGUGACAAUGGUCAGAUUCAGCUGCAGAGAUCUCUCCUUAACAACGGUGCUGUCUCCUACUCUGUAAGUUAUACUCACCAAGGUUUUAAAUUUUGAUUACAGAAUUUAUAGAAACUGCAAUUUUCUGUUUCUUGUAAAAGAUGAUAAUUUAUAUGAAUAAUCAUUGAAAUUUGCUCAUAAAAGUUAAUACAUUUGUUUUGAAUAAUCAGUGCAAGUGAUUUGAAAGUUUAUAGUAACAAAAUCUUGAUAGAUUUAUUUACUCUAUGUUUAUUUGUGUAUAUUUUAUAACUUAUAGUGCGGAGUGAAUGUUAAUGAUAAUAGUUACCCCACCAAUAAUAUUGCAGCAGUCAUGAUGUUUACAUCUUUAUCACACGUGACCUUACUAUGCCUGUGUUUACCAGUAACGCAUGAUGGUGACGAUCGAGGAUGAAGAAAUCAAUAACGGUAUCAUCAAGGUUACUGCUACAUGACACAGACUUAUUGUAAGUACAUUGUAUAGUGUUACAUCAC